rnacentral:snoRNA from 1 species
UCUGGCAGUGAUGACACACUUGCCCUCACAGAACAUUGUUCAGUAAUGAGAACCUUGCUAUGUACUCAAGAGGAGCUGAGCCAGA